AUUUAUUUCUAAUUUUGGUGAUAUCCCCCCCACACUCAUUAAAUGUUCUGUUGUUUCUCUCUUUUCAUACCAUCCAAAAAAUAGUUUGAGGAAUAAACUUUAUAUUUUCGACUUUUUACAAAUCCCACCUCACACCCAAAGUUCAACCCUAACUGUACCUGCAAUCACCUAGAUGAUACUCAGUAGACUGUACACCGUAGACCAAAUAUUAUAUGAUAACUUUUGAUUUAAAAGAAUU
rnacentral:lncRNA from 1 species